UAGGGAAUCUUCCGCAAUGGGCGAAAGCCUGACGGAGCAACGCCGCGUGAGUGAUGAAGGUCUUCGGAUCGUAAAACUCUGUUAUUAGGGAAGAACAAAUGUGUAAGUAACUAUGCACGUCUUGACGGUACCUAAUCAGAAAGCCACGGCUAACUACGUGCCAGCAGCCGCGGUAAUACGUAGGUGGCAAGCGUUAUCCGGAAUUAUUGGGCGUAGAGCGCGCGUAGGCGGUUUUUUAAGUCUGAUGUGAAAGCCCACGGCUCAACCGUGGAGGGUCAUUGGAUACUGGAUAACUUGAGUGCAGAAGAGGAAAGUGGAAUUCCAUGUGUAGCGGUGAAAUGCGCAGAGAUAUGGAGGAACACCAGUGGCGAAGGCGACUUUCUGGUCUGUAACUGACGCUGAUGUGCGAAAGCGUGGGGAUCAAACAGG
rnacentral:rRNA from 1 species